rnacentral:rRNA from 1 species
GACGAGCGCUGGCGGCGUGCUUAACACAUGCAAGUCGAGCGAUGAAGCACCUUCGGGUGUGGAUUAGCGGCGAACGGGUGAGGAACACGUGAGGAAUCUGCCUUUCACUUCGGGAUAACUCCGGGAAACCGGGGCUAAUACCGGAUAUUUUCAACUGGCGGCAUCGCCGGUUGAAGAAAGUUUUUCGGUGAAAGAUGACCUCGCGGCCUAUCAGCUUGUUGGUGAGGUAAUGGCUCACCAAGGCGGCGACAGGUAGCCGGCCUGAGAGGGCGACCGGCCACACUGGGACUGAGAUACGGCCCAGACUCCUACGGGAGGCAGCAGUGGGGAAUAUUGCACAAUGGGCGCAAGCCUGAUGCAGCGACGCCGCGUGAGGGAUGACGGCCUUCGGGUUGUAAACCUCUUUCAGCACCGACGAAGCGCAAGUGACGGUAGGUGCAGAAGAAGGACCGGCCAACUACGUGCCAGCCGCCGCCGUAA